AUCUCGUAGACUUUUCUAUGCAUCUGAUUUUUCUUUUUUAAAUUUUUUUUGAGAAAAGAUUAAAUUUAUAUCUAAAUUUUUAAUUUAAAUUACAAAGAAAACAGACUAACCGAAAACUAUAAAAACCACCAAAAACUACAACACAACAGAAGACAAGGAAAAAAGAAAAGGAAAUCACAACGAAAACCCUAUUAGUGGAGACCCAAAACGAAACAUUGAUUCUAAACAAUAAAGUUUUUACAUUUGCGUGGUUUCCUCGGCUCGAAAGAGCUCAUGUCCUCAUCUUUGUUAUCACAAGCAACCCAAAUUUAAAGUUGUCCUCAAACCUCAAGAAAGAGCACUUACCGCUUCUCUGAAAACUAACACAAAAACAGAGCGGCUUAAGCGGACUAAACUCACACUCGACGGCACAUGAGCAUCUACGGGCAGCCAGAAAAGCCGCCUCCAGCCACCAAUUCAUUGAGAGUAACAGAACAUCUUCCACAAAAUAGCGAAGCCGCUUAAUCCAAACGCCGCCUCAAUUCCCCAUGG
rnacentral:sRNA from 1 species